GACGAACCGAGCGAACGUUGUUCGGAAUCACUGGGCUUAAAGAGCUCGUAGGCGGUUCGUCGCGUCGGCUGUGAAAACCUGAGGCUCAACCUCAGGCCUGCAGUCGAUACGGGCGGACUUGAGUACUGCAGGGGAGACUGGAAUUCCUGGUGUAGCGGUGAAAUGCGCAGAUAUCAGGAGGAACACCGGUGGCGAAGGCGGGUCUCUGGGCAGUAACUGACGCUGAGGAGCGAAAGCGUGGGGAGCGAACAGG
rnacentral:rRNA from 1 species